rnacentral:misc_RNA from 1 species
GAUGAAGAACGCAGCAAAAUGCGAUAAGUAAUGUGAAUUGCAGAAUUCAGUGAAUCAUCGAAUCUUUGAACGCACAUUGCGCCCGCCAGUAUUCUGGCGGGCAUGCCUGUUCGAGCGUCAUUUCAACCCUCAAGCCCUCGGGUUUGGUGUUGGGGAUCGGUGAGCCUUUCUGGCAAGCCGGCCCCGAAAUCUAGUGGCGGUCUCGCUGCAGCCUCCAUUGCGUAGUAGUAAAACCCUCGCAACUGGAACGCGGCGCGGCCAAGCCGUUAAACCCCCAACUUCUGAAUGUUGACCUCGGAUCAGGUAGGAAUACCCGCUGAACUUAAGCAUAUCAAUAAGCGGAGGA